rnacentral:lncRNA from 1 species
GACCUUGAGCUUUUAUAACAAUAGCUUCACCUCUUCCACUUCCCGCAUUCUUGGGAAGUGGGCGGAUUCUACGGCGGCUGCGGCGUUUCGGUUUUCAAUAAUUACCGUCAGAUAAUAUGGUGGCUUUUCGGCAUAAUUGGUGGUUUCCUUUUCUUGAACCACGCAAAGAGCAGCUGCAUAGUUACCAGGCGCACCUUUUUACGCAACAGUCUGACAAUGCCC